rnacentral:rRNA from 1 species
GACGAACGCUGGCGGCGUGCCUAAUACAUGCAAGUAGAACGCUGAAGAGAGGAGCUUGCUCUUCUUGGAUGAGUUGCGAACGGGUGAGUAACGCGUAGGUAACCUGCCUUGUAGCGGGGGAUAACUAUUGGAAACGAUAGCUAAUACCGCAUAACAAUGGAUGACCCAUGUCAUUUAUUUGAAAGGGGCAAAUGCUCCACUACAAGAUGGACCUGCGUUGUAUUAGCUAGUAGGUGAGGUAACGGCUCACCUAGGCGACGAUACAUAGCCGACCUGAGAGGGUGAUCGGCCACACUGGGACUGAGACACGGCCCAGACGCCUACGGGAGGCAGCAGUAGGGAAUCUUCGGCAAUGGGGGCAACCCUGACCGAGCAACGCCGCGUGAGUGAAGAAGGUUUUCGGAUCGUAAAGCUCUGUUGUAAGUCAAGAACGAGUGUGAGAGUGGAAAGUUCACACUGUGACGGUAGCUUACCAGAAAGGGACGGCUAACUACGUG